UAAUCCGACCUAGGCUCAUCUGAUAGCGCAAGGCCCGAAGGUCCCCUGCUUUCUCCCGUAGGACGUAUGCGGUAUUAGCGUAAGUUUCCCUACGUUAUCCCCCACAAAUAGGCAGAUUCCGACGUAUUCCUCACCCGUCCGCCACUUGCCACCCAAGGAGCAAGCUCCUCUGUGCUACCGUUCGACUUGCAUGUGUUAGGCCUGCCGCCAGCGUUCAAUCUGAGCCAGGAUCAAACUCUA
rnacentral:rRNA from 1 species